UUUCGGUCAAAUCAAGUGCAAUCUUAGUGGCGGACGGGUGAGUAACGCGUGGGUAACCUGCCUUGCACUGGGGGAUAACACUUAGAAAUAGGUGCUAAUACCGCAUAAGCGCACGGUCCUGCAUGGGACAGUGUGAAAAACUCCGGUGGUGCAAGAUGGACCCGCGUCUGAUUAGCUGGUUGGCGGGGUAAAGGCCCACCAAGGCGACGAUCAGUAGCCGGCCUGAGAGGGUGAACGGCCACAUUGGGACUGAGACACGGCCCAAACUCCUACGGGAGGCAGCAGUGGGGAAUAUUGCACAAUGGGGGGAACCCUGAUGCAGCGACGCCGCGUGAGCGAAGAAGUAUUUCGGUAUGUAAAGCUCUAUCAGCAGGGAAGAAAAUGACGGUACCUGACUAAGAAGCCCCGGCUAACUACGUGCCAGCAGCCGCGGUAAUACGUAGGGGGCAAGCGUUAUCCGGAUUUACUGGGUGUAAAGGGAGCGCAGGCGGCGCGGUAAGUCUGAUGUGAAAGCCCGGGGCUCAACCCCGGGACUGCAUUGGAAACUGUCGUGCUGGAGUGUCGGAGGGGCAAGUGGAAUUCCUAGUGUAGCGGUGAAAUGCGUAGAUAUUAGGAGGAACACCAGUGGCGAAGGCGGCUUGCUGGACGACAACUGACGCUGAGGCUCGAAAGCGUGGGGAGCAAACAGGAUUAGAUACCCUGGUAGUCCACGCCGUAAACAAUGAAUACUAGGUGUUGGAGGGCAAGCCCUUCGGUGCCGC
rnacentral:rRNA from 1 species